rnacentral:lncRNA from 1 species
AUGCCCCCGGGACCGACCUCGCCCUCUCACCCACCAUGCCCCUGUGACCCACCUUGCCCUCACACCCACUGUGUCCCGGGACCCACCACGCCCUCUCACCCACUGUGCCCCUGGACCCACCAUGCCUCCUUACCCACUGUGCCCCUGGAACCACCACGCCUCCUCACCCACUGUGCCCUGGACCCACCACACCUCCUCACCCACUGUGCCCUGGACCCACCACGCCUCCUCACCCACUGUGCCCCUGGAACCACCACACCUCCUCACCCACUGUGCCCUGGACUCACCACGCCUCCUCACCCACAGUACUCCUGGGACCCACCGUGCCUCCUCACCCACUGUACCCCUGGGACCCACCGUGCCUCCUCACCCACUGUACCCCUGGGACCCACCAUGCCUCCUCACCCACUGUGCCCUGGACCCACCGUGCCUCCUCACCCACAGUACCCCUGGGACCCACCGUGCCUCCUCACCCACUGUACCCCUGGGACCCACCGUGCCUCCUCACCCACAGUACCCCUGGGACCCACCAUGCCUCCUCACCCACAGUACCCCUGGGACCCACUGUGCCUCCUCACCCACUGUACCCCUGGGACCCACCGUGCCUCCUCACCCACAGUACCCCUGGGACCCACCAUGCCUCCUCACCCACAGUACCCCUGGGACCCACUGUGCCUCCUCACCCACAGUACCCCUGGGACCCACUGUGCCUCCUCACCCACAGUACCCCUGGGACCCACUGUGCCUCCUCACCCACAGUACCCCUGGGACCCACUGUGCCUCCUCACCCACAGUACCCCUGGGACCCACUGUGCCUCCUCACCCCCAGUACCCCUGGGACCCACUGUGCCUCCUCACCCACAGUACCCCUGGGACCCACUGUGCCUCCUCACCCACAGUACCCCUGGGACCCACUGUGCCUCCUCACCCACAGUACCCCUGGGACCCACCGUGCCUCCUCACCCACAGUACCCCUGGGACCCACUGUGCCUCCGCAUUUACUGCGUCCUGGGACCCACCAUGCGUCCAUGUCCACUGUGCCCCUGA